rnacentral:rRNA from 1 species
GAUGAACGCUGGCGGCGUGCCUAAUACCUGCAAGUCGAGCGGUAAGGCCUCUUCGGAGGUACACGAGCGGCGGACGGCUGAGUAACACGUAGGAACGUACCCCGAAGUGAGGGAUAACUGCCCGAAAGAGUAGCUAAUACCGCAUGUGAUCUCCGGAUUAAAGCUUCGGCGCUUUGGGAACGGCCUGCGCAUGAUUAGCUAGUUGGUGAGGUAAUGGCUCACCAAGGCGACGAUCAUUAGCUGGUCUGAGAGGAUGAUCAGCCAGACUGGGACUGAGACACGGCCCAGACUCCUACGGGAGGCAGCAGUAGGGAAUUUUCCACAAUGGGCGAAAGCCUGAUGGAGCAACGCCGCGUGCAGGAUGAAUGCCUUCGGGUUGUAAACUGCUUUUAUAUGUGACGAUUAUGACGGUAGCAUAUGAAUAAGGAUCGGCUAACUCCGUGCCAGCAGCCGCGGUAA